rnacentral:rRNA from 1 species
AGUGAACGCUGGCGGUAGGCCUAACACAUGCAAGUCGAAUGGCAGCACAGGAGAGCUUGCUCUCUGGGUGGCGAGUGGCGGACGGGUGAGGAAUACAUCGGAAUCUACUCUGUCGUGGGGGAUAACGUAGGGAAACUUACGCUAAUACCGCAUACGACCUACGGGUGAAAGCAGGGGACCUUCGGGCCUUGCGCGAUUGAAUGAGCCGAUGUGGGAUUAGCUAGUUGGCGGGGUAAAGGCCCACCAAGGCGACGAUCCGUAGCUGGUCUGAGAGGAUGAUCGGCCACACUGGAACUGAGACACGGUCCAGACUCCUACGGGAGGCAGCAGUGGGGAAUAUUGGACAAUGGGCGCAAGCCAGAUCCAGCCAUACCGCGUGGGUGAAGAAGGCCUUCGGGUUGUAAAGCCCUUUUGUUGGGAAAGAAAUCCAGUUGGCUAAUACCCGGUUGGGAUGACGGUACCCAAAGAAUAAGCACCGGCUAACUUCGUGCCAGCCGCCGCCGUAA